GGGCACCUACGGGGGCCUAUAACAUCAGGGCCGCGCGAGCGGUCCGCCAAGCAAACGGAAGUAGCAA
rfam:Octadecabacter antarcticus 307, complete genome.